GGGUUCGUGGCGCAAUGGUUAGCGUGUUUGGCUUCGAUUGCCUCCGCACGGUGACCAAAAGGCUGCAGGUUCGAGUCCUGCCGAGCUCA